GACAGAGGGGGCAAGCGUUGCUCGGAAUCACUGGGCGUAAAGGGCGCGUAGGCGGCCGCCUAAGUCAGACGUGAAAUCCCUCGGCUCAACCGGGGAACUGCGUCUGAUACUGGGUGGCUUGAAUCCGGGGAGAGGGAUGCGGAAUUCCGAGGUGUAGCGGUGAAAUGCGUAGAUAUCAGGAGGAACACCCGUGGCGAAGGCGGCUCCUCUAUCUCGAUUCUGACGCUGAGGCGCGAAAGCUAGGGGAGCAAACGGG
rnacentral:rRNA from 1 species